rnacentral:rRNA from 1 species
GACGAACGCUGGCGGCGUGCUUAACACAUGCAAGUCGAACGGAAAGGCCCUGCUUUUGUGGGGUGCUCGAGUGGCGAACGGGUGAGUAACACGUGAGUAACCUGCCCUUGACUUUGGGAUAACUUCAGGAAACUGGGGCUAAUACCGGAUAGGAGCUCCUGCUGCAUGGUGGGGGUUGGAAAGUUUCGGCGGUUGGGGAUGGACUCGCGGCUUAUCAGCUUGUUGGUGGGGUAGUGGCUUACCAAGGCUUUGACGGGUAGCCGGCCUGAGAGGGUGGCCGGCCACAUUGGGACUGAGAUACGGCCCAGACUCCUACGGGAGGCAACAGUGGGGAAUAUUGCACAAUGGGCGGAAGCCUGAUGCAGCAACGCCGCGUGCGGGAUGACGGCCUUCGGGUUGUAAACCGCUUUCGCCUGUGACGAAGCGUGAGUGACGGUAAUGGGUAAAGAAGCACCGGCUAACUACGU